AUGGAAGUUGUGCGAGGCCUCGUUCGAACCUAUAUACACCGGGUUUGAAUUUAUGUAAAAAUUCAGUUUUUAGCAAGAUAUGGCAGUGAUGUUUUAUAAAAGAGGUUUUUCAAACGCUGAUGCUCAAUAGGAAUUGAGACCUUUUAUACUCCCAUUUUUAUUAAGUGAUCGGCUUGAUUGAUUUUAUUUGACGGAUGCGAGGCAUCCGUACGAAAAUAAUAUACAAAAAUAAUGUCGACUUCCUCAUGGGUAUGGAAACCAUCUGAGGAAAUUCCGACACCGCAGAAUAAUUUACAAGCUGCUUACAGCUGAAAAUGUCCAUCAUGGGA
rnacentral:lncRNA from 1 species